rnacentral:tRNA from 1 species
GGUGAGGUGUCCGAGUGGCUGAAGGAGCACGCCUGGAAAGCGUGUAUACCGCAAGGUAUCGAGGGUUCGAAUCCCUCCCUCACCGCCA